rnacentral:lncRNA from 1 species
GUGCAUCAAUCUGUUGCGGUCAAUCUCCUAUUGCGUCUGUUGUCGGUGAAGAGCACCUGCAAAAUAAAAUCCAUACUAACCGAAGUUGUGUCCGAUGGGGACCCUCCAAUGCUUAAAUUAGCGGAGAAUGGUGAACAACAGAUCAGAAUUCAAAAAGACAAAAUUUCAGCCCUCAAGAGACCUUACCAAAUGCUAUUCAUUAUCUUCUUUUAUAGACAAGUAGUU